UGGUAAAAAUGUUUACCACUUUCGUGUUUUUACUUAAAUUCAAAGGAAACAAGAAGCGGAAGUACAAGAAUUAAACAAACAACAACAAAAUACAGACCGGAAAACACACAGACAAACAUUAACGAAGCGAAACAUCUCAAACACAGCAUUGCCUUCACUGAAAGGAGAGGAUAUCAAGAGGACGCAAAGAGGACGCAUGCUGCCGCCGUUGUAUGGGGAGAGCUUCGGUUAAUCUCUUAUAUUUUUAAUCUCUUGCGCUCAAUUAUCAGCACAUAGAAAAGGAUGUCCAUGAUGCAUAUAGUAAAAAUCCAUUUUAGAUAACCGGACACUAGAACACCACUGGGCACUAAGAUGUAAAUCGACUUAAACAUAGAUGACCAUAAAAAUCAAAUCCAACAUAUUGCUGAACAGUGAACACAAUAAUGACAUCUUCAAAUUCAAUAAUAUUCAACGCCACUCGCUUCGAGAGACACACGCCACGGAACAGCAGUAGUAAUAAAAACAAGACUCCAAAUUAAUUCAACGUAAGGUCCGGAUACGCUGCGACGCGCCUAGACAAUAACACCGUACAUCCAUCCUUGGGAGAUAUCGUGGGGCAGUACACGAUCUCAUCGCAGCCGUCCGAUCGAACCCUCUUGAAAUCCAAAAGCGUCGAGAACAUAGCAAUGAAGAGCACGAGGUGGUUCAGUGCGUAACGCUGACCUACGCACUGGUGCGAGCCCCAUCCAAAAGCGAGAAAGUUGCGCUUGAACACCUGGUCUUCUUUCCUGGUCUCGCUAAACCGGUCUGGAUCAAACCGGUCCGGUUCGGUGAAGCCUUGGAACGAGGAGUCGAAGACCGAGGGAAAGACGAUGGUUCCUUUUGGUAUAGUGUAAGUUUUCGUGAGAGGGAAGUCUACAGCUGCCACGUGUGGGACCAUAGUCGCCGGGGGUCGGUAUCUCACGACCUCACGCGCCACGUUGAGCGUGUACUUCAUCUCCGCGAGCUGAUCAAAAAAUACAGGACAACUGAACGCAAAAUAUUUAAUCUUUUCUGUGUGUGUUUUGUGGGUUUGUUUUUGGUAAAAAUGUUUACCACUUUCGUGUUUUUACUUAAAUUCAAAGGAAACAAGAAGCGGAAGUACAAGAAUUAAACAAACAACAACAAAAUACAGACCGGAAAACACACAGACAAACAUUAACGAAGCGAAACAUCUCAAACACAGCAUUGCCUUCACUGAAAGGAGAGGAUAUCAAGAGGACGCAAAGAGGACGCAUGCUGCCGCCGUUGUAUGGGGAGAGCUUCGGUUAAUCUCUUAUAUUUUUAAUCUCUUGCGCUCAAUUAUCAGCACAUAGAAAAGGAUGUCCAUGAUGCAUAUAGUAAAAAUCCAUUUUAGAUAACCGGACACUAGAACACCACUGGGCACUAAGAUGUAAAUCGACUUAAACAUAGAUGACCAUAAAAAUCAAAUCCAACAUAUUGCUGAACAGUGAACACAAUAAUGACAUCUUCAAAUUCAAUAAUAUUCAACGCCACUCGCUUCGAGAGACACACGCCACGGAACAGCAGUAGUAAUAAAAACAAGACUCCAAAUUAAUUCAACGUAAGGUCCGGAUACGCUGCGACGCGCCUAGACAAUAACACCGUACAUCCAUCCUUGGGAGAUAUCGUGGGGCAGUACACGAUCUCAUCGCAGCCGUCCGAUCGAACCCUCUUGAAAUCCAAAAGCGUCGAGAACAUAGCAAUGAAGAGCACGAGGUGGUUCAGUGCGUAACGCUGACCUACGCACUGGUGCGAGCCCCAUCCAAAAGCGAGAAAGUUGCGCUUGAACACCUGGUCUUCUUUCCUGGUCUCGCUAAACCGGUCUGGAUCAAACCGGUCCG
rnacentral:lncRNA from 1 species